UACGGAGGGGGCUAGCGUUGUUCGGAAUUACUGGGCGUAAAGCGCGCGUAGGCGGCUUUGUAAGUUAGAGGUGAAAGCCCGGAGCUCAACUCCGGAACUGCCUUUAAGACUGCAUCGCUAGAAUUGUGGAGAGGUGAGUGGAAUUCCGAGUGUAGAGGUGAAAUUCGUAGAUAUUCGGAAGAACACCAGUGGCGAAGGCGGCUCACUGGCCCGAUACUGACGCUGAGGCACGAAAGCGUGGGGAGCAAACAGG
rnacentral:rRNA from 1 species